UUCAACAACCUCCUCCUUCCCAUCUUCACCCACUGUGUGUGAACUCUUUCCAGCAAUCAUACUUCUACUGAGGUUACCUGUUCCCACAGAAAGUUUUAGGUUUAUGGCACUUUCUGGUUGCCUGGAGUUGGCUGCUUAAAUGAUCUUCCUUCCCCCUGGACAUCAACCCUCUGCCUUUGUUGUACUGCCACAAUGGUUUAAUAGAGCAAGUUGAAUACAUGUUAAGUGCCUUAAACCAGCAAAGUGAGUUUUCUGUUAGGAAUAUCUAGCCAGUGGGCAGGGAUUCAUGUUUAAG